rnacentral:lncRNA from 1 species
UCUCAUGUCAUAUCAUUCAUAAUGUUUGUGGAUAACAUCCCUGAAAACCCUCACGAGACAACACUCGUCCACUAGGGUAACCUAGGGGUUUAACGGCUUGUUGCACGUGCUAAGUGCAAUCGUGAUGCCCCACGAAAGUGGGUACAUAUCUUAGUUUUAUGUCUUUAGCUUUAAUAAAAAGUCAAAGAAUUGACCAACA